GCCUCCCGCCCGCCCGCCGGGCCGGCGGCGCCGUGGGGCGCCCCUCGGGGCCGGGGGGCGCGGCGGACGCUUCUGGAAGGCGGCGGAGCGGGCGGUUCGCUAGCGCGUGCGGCGGUGUCGCGCGGCAGGCAGCCCCCCCCCCCCCCCCCCGCCGGUUUGAAUUCGGAGCGUCGGUUGGCGCGGGGGGGAGGGUGGGGGGUGCGCGGUGCCGGGUGGCCGUUGGGGUGGAGGGAGCAAGUGCCCGAGGCGGUCGGAGGCGGUGGGACAAACGCUUGGGUGCGCUUUGGGGCUGAAACGGAGGUAUGAACCAGGUAGUGACGCCGGUUCCGUCUGCGCGCGGGAGGAACGGUCGGGAUGAACAGCCCCUGCCGCAGACUACGCCGUGAGCAGUCAUCGACUUGCAGUUUUAAGAGAUUGCGAUCCGCUCUUUUCCCUCACUCCCACUCAGUUAAAUCACAGGCUUGCCAACAGGCAGCAAUUUUCUAAGGGGAGCUGCUGCCAAGGGAAGGGAAACUAACCUUGCAGCAGAGCUAGCACUGGAAGCUCCUUAGCUACUGUCCCUCACCCAGCUUCUUGCCAGAGGUUUCCUCUUCUCUAGGUUAUGCUGAAUGUGGAAAGAGGCCUUUGUGCAGCUCUUCUGUAACUGAGGACACCAAAGUCAUUGGUGAGGGAAAGGUCUCUGGUUCCCUGUAAAGAGAAAAGGAAAAACAUCUGUUAGUCUGGUAAUGUCUCUGGGAGGUGCUGUUACUGUUCCACAAGGUCAUCGGGGAUGUAAGAUUUUCUGCAGGUUCUGACAUCUCAACAUAAUGUCCUCAUCACUGGGAGUGACAUCCAUGGUACAACCUCCAGCAGGCUUUGGCUUUCCUCAAGGAAGUAAGAAAACCUUUAGUGGUUUCAGCAGAGCGCUCUGUUGUAUCUCUUUCUAUCUAGGGACAUGUUAAAUGCAACAUUCAAGCACCUUCCUCUGAAGGUGAUGUGUGAUAUGACAACCCUCUGGUCUAAGAUUUAUCAGUAUAAAAGAGAAGUUCAUGAGACACUGCAUACUGGUAAACAAAAUGAUAUGUUGGGUUAAGUAUUUUUAGCACUCAAAAAGCAUACCAAAUCUUAUGACAAAAACGUACAUCAAUUGUAUGUUAAAGGUGUAUCUUUUAAGCAGAUUGGGAAUUACAGCAUGCCAGAUUUUAGACUUUAUGUGAAAGCUCAUUUUGAAAUACAGGACUCUAAAGAGAAAAUCAGGUAUCCAAAAUAUUUGCCACUGUUCCUUUUUUGUAAGUUUAAACUGAAUUAAUUGAUUAAAAAAAGGUGUGGCUAAAACACUUCGGAAUGGAAAUUUAUGUUGCAUCCUGUAAUGAGCAGUUGCCCCAGCCAAAAUGGAGUUUAAAGCAGAAAUGGUAACAGAUCCUACACUAUCAAAGUAAGCAGCCAUUGCUGCAUUAAAGCAUGUCCAAUACAGUGCCAAAGUAGAAAGCACAGCAGGGAAAGGCAAGGUAGUUUACAGCUGAGUGUAUCUUGUUUCUCCCUUUCCUAUCUAUGGAUGAUGAGUAACUACCUAGAAGGCAGUGCAGCCUUGUCGGGCUGGAGAGGAAAUGAAGCUCCUGUGCAGAGUGGUAGUUCUUUUUCUGCCCGUUGGGGAAACAGAUUCUUCACUGAAUAUGUCCAAGUCACUAGACUGAAAGAGUGCAUUAGGUAAGUAUGGAGCUCCACUAGUCCUUAGUCUGGGGUACUGUAGAGCAGUACUGCGACUGCCCAGUGAUCAGUACAGAAGGAUCCUUUUUUCUUUGCAGAACAUCUGUUUUGUCCUUUUAUUCUGGCUAGCCCUGGGUGAUUGUGUAUGCCUUUUAAGGUUUAUCACUAGGUAGGAUUUUUGUAUAUACAGCAGAAGUUUAUUUAUAUACUGUGUGUAUUUGAUGCUUUAUUUCUCUGUCCAUAUAUGUAUACAUCCAUUUACAUCAUAUAUCUGGCAUGUUUCAGUGAGGAUCUUAAAAUAAUGCAUAUAUUUAUAACACUUCAUUAAGCCAUCCAGUAUUCUUAAGACCAAGGCAAAGAUCUCUAUUUCUGUUUUAUGUUAAUAAAUGCUGGUACCAGCAAUGUUGAGUGGUUAGGGAUGUGAAUCACUCCUAGAACCAGAAAGAAAUGCAGGAGUCUUAAUUAUCCUGUCACAAUUUACCACAUGGCCACAGCUUACUGUUCACAGUAAUUUUAUGGGUUAUGUGACAUUAAUAUGUUUUUAUUUAGGUUUUCAUGCUAUUUAAGAGACACUUUCUUAGAAAUUGUCUUUUUAAAUUGAUUCUUUUGUUUGGCACACUGCCACCUAGCUGCAGUCUUCCCUGAACAGUCUUGUAGUUAGUGUGAUGCUGGGAGCAAGAUGAGACAUUUGGUGGGUGAAAUUUACUUGGGUUCACCUGGAAAGUUCUUCAGCAAUCAAGUUGUUGAUGGGAGGAAAAGACAAAAUAGAAAAACAGUAUUAUUAUUAUUGUUACUAUUCAUACAGUGACCAGUUCCCCCAUCAUGAUAAUUUUGAAGCAAGUUAUGCUGUUCUGACACUAACGUUAUUUUCACUCUGAAAAUACCUGACAGCGAGGGAUGAAACAUUAGUGGAAAAGUCAGAUUUCCCCAGGCUUAUUUUAAUAGCUAGGCACUGGGGAAGGAAACAAGGAAGAAAUGGAAAUACACAGAAUGUGGAUUUACUGAAUGUUUGUUUGGAGGGAAUGUGAAAGCUGAUCAUUACAGUAAUUCUCUGUUUGGGAAAUAAAAACCAUGUGUUAGAGUGAAGAUGUGGAAAUAAGUUAUAUCAAGAAAACCUAUUAUUUUGAGUUGAGGUGGAUGUGACAUCAUUUAGGGAAUUACAGCCAGGCUGCAAAAGCAUUAAAUGGAUAUUUCACUAACAUAGGAACUACAUACUUUAAACAGUACUUCAAAUUAUGUUUUUCUAACUCUAACAUUUACUGUUCUCUUAUCUUAUCCCUACAUGUCUGUAUAUCACAUGAAGCCAAAGGCAUAAAUGGGGAAGCUAUGUAAGCUAUGUGUAAAGGUACAUGCAGAAUGCUGAGGCUUUAGGUAGGGAGGAAUAAUACCUUUUGUCAGAACAACUAGUAUUUGAAAACUGACAAACUUUUGGCUUUUUGGCUCAUCUAUCCUUUUUUCUCAAGCUGUAUAUAACUGCACAUUCAAAGCUUAUCUGCAGCCCUAAACAAUCCUAUCUAAAGCAACGAUACUGUUUCUAAAGAACUGUGAUACAGGGAAGUAUGGCGGCAAGGCAGUCCAGAUCAUCUCUAUCUGUCCUCUAGCCAGAUAUUUAUAUUGUAUUCUUAGCUGUGCUGUCCGAUUGUCAGUAAAUCAUUGCAACAGGUGUCUGAAUGAGCUGAUUUGUCUUGUUUCUACAUGUACAGAAAAACACAUAGUAGGUUUGGACCCAGAUGCCAGGUAGGUUCAAAUCUUGCUCAGAAAAGACUGAAAAAGGGUGUGAAUUUUAGAAGGAUGUGUUGCCAUGAAUGAAUCAUUUUGACUGUUUCUUGAAUUGUGCAGUUUCUGGACUCCUCCUUCUCACCCCACCAAAGGGCCAGUUGUUCUAUAUAAUGGCAGGUGCCUGAGCCAAACAUUUAAAUAUUUGCAUUAUAGCACAGUAGUAAGUCUAGAAAGUGCUACAUGCUGGGGUGCUUGUCAGUGGGACUGUGUGGAAGAUCCCAAAAGUUCACUUAAUGCAGUAAAAGUACAAUGCAAUGGAAAGCCAAGACUUCCACAUCUAUGAGGAAGUUAACUCCAGUUCACAGAGGCUACUGUCUCUUUUUUCUCCUUAACACUUUUUAAACAUAAAGCCUUUGAAUAUGUGUGUGUGUGGAGAUGUAUGAUGUAUUUCUGGGUCCUCUACAUGCUGUUUUGAUUCACAUUCUUAUCUGGGUAAAAGAUAAUAUUUGAUACAUACCAUGUGCAUGUAUAAAGUCAUUUCUUUACUUAGCAGCUCAUACAGAAAUUCUGUCCAGUUCUUUUCAUCCUUCCUCUUCUCACUGUGUCUGUGUGGCAAACACCCUGGGGUUUCUCUGUUUUUUGAAGUAUAUUUGCAUGGUACUAUAUAUAAUGAGUGAUUACAUUGUUUUGUAGCUGUUUGAAGGAGGUCACAAUAAUGGAUUUUUUCCUCUUUUUCUUUUGUUUAUGGUGAUUAUAGUAGGAUUUUGCUUUAGUCAUUUUAGGAUCAACUGCCAUAUAAAUGGAAAAGUGUAUCUACGAAAGAAGCACCUAAUUGUGACAAAUGGUUGGAAGAUUUUGAAUGUGAUGUAAUUAAUACCUUUUUUCCUGUAAACCCUUCCCUAGAAUUGUAUUUGAUUUCUGAGGUGUAAGCAUGGAAAAAACAACUUUCUUUGGACAGAGGGAAGUCAAGAAUUUUUUGAUAGUGGGUAAAACCAAAAAAUUUUAGACAUCUCUAACAUCCUGGGAUACUAUUAUUCAGAUAGCAGUGCUUUUCCUAUUCUUGACUAGGACUUUGGAACAAUCGAACAGGAAAUACCCAAUGGGAUUUUAUUUUUAAGAAGUUCUUGAAAACUCUCUGGAUAUCAUUCAGUGCAAAAAGUAAUCAUCAAAGCUUUUCAGUACUUAAUCAGAGUACAUGUUGAAGUGUCCAUGUUUCUGUGGCUCACCUGCUUUUUUCCUCUCUUUGUACCACUGUGGUAAACUGGCAGGAUACAUAAACCAUUACUCUGUUGACUGUUUAAGUUGGUGCGGUUCCAUACUAAUGCAAAAUGGCACAAAGGGAGGGAAGAAAAAAACUGGAGGUCCGUGAUCCUCAACACAUGCACAAAGCUGCCACCAGAGCCUGCCAGUGCUCUGGUGUAGAACAGGAUAUGUAGAACAUAUACAUGGAUGUACAAGAAAUCUUGUUUCUUCUGCAUGGCUGGCAAUCAUUCAGAGCCCCUGCUGUAGGUGGAGGAAGGGGACUGGCACAGAGCUGGAAGCACAGAAGAUGCAUGAAACACGUGGAAGGACCGGAAAGUGGGAAUGUGGGCCAAAAGGAAGGUGAUACCUACAACCAUUGAGGAGCUGAACAUAGAAGGAGCCUCACAGAGGAGAGUGUGGAGCAAAGGAAGGAGGAGUGAUUACAAUGCAGAUAUUUAUAGGAAGAUGAGAGUGGGUGGCUGGAGGAGCCCUGGUAUUUGAAAAAAGAAAAUGGGGACACACAGAACUGAUAGGAGAUUUAGAGUAGGGGAAUCACAGGGAGAUCUUUAAAGAGAAGAGAAGGGAAGGUGGCCUACAAAGAGUUUGCAAGAGAGAGAGAUGAAAGCAGCCUUGGUACCUGCAGUAAACUCAGCCAGUUGAAGCUAUGAAACACCCAACUCCCAAGUUCCUAUGCCCUUUCUUCUACAAAUGCUGCACUGAUAGUGUUAUUAGUCUGUGAAUUCCUAUGUAUUUACAUUAAAUGCUUUUGAAAGAUAUAAAGAUAGACUUCGGGAUUGAACAUCGGAAUCAGGGCCUUGUAUAACAUUGAUGUGUUUGUAACAUGUAUUGGGUUGCUUUCCUUCCACUCCUUGGCAAGGCUAGUUAGCUGACUUUAGGGCAGGCACGGCUAUUUUGGGAUGUGUUUGCCUUCAAGGCGAGCAGCUUAUUUGAGAGUUUUAUGUUUAUAAACCCCACCUUAAAAGGAGUGUCAGCAUAGACCCAUGUCAUGUAGCAUCUUUCUGGAAGAAGUGCAGAGCAGGGUGUUACAUCAUUUAGCUUCAUCUGUCACCACUGAAAAGAAAGAGGUACCUGCAGAAGACACUUGCUGACCCUUGCCUCUAAGCUGGGAGAAGCCCGUCUCUGUUUGUUGAUCACACGGGGAACCUUAGACCCUCUUAUAUGGCUAAUGUAGUUGCCUACGCUGGAUGGUUUGAAUAUCCCAAAAGUUGCUGUCAUUAGAGCUGAAGUAUUUCAAAACAUGUGGUUGCUGAUGGACUUGCUUUUUUAAAAGCCUAUCUGAAAGAAGUUCAAAUGUGUAGUUUAUAGGUCUGGUUCAGAUCUCAGCUAAACUCUUGUAAAUCCAUAGAAAGGUUUGUUUUGGUAUAGUAGCUAAAAAGGUGAGAUUCUCAGCAAUACAAAAUCAGUGCAUUUUCAUAGAAGCCAAAGGAUCUAUUUCUGUUAACACAGGCCUCUGAGGAUUUGGCUACUUUUCCUCAGUAAUUAAUGAAGGCAGUAGGAGAUAAGGAGAGUGUGUUCGUACCACCCAAAUUUAAUCUCCCAGGCAUCUCUCUGAAGCUGAUUAAGAGUAAUAGACUCCUCCAGACGGUGGUUCAAAGCACCUAAGUUAGCCUCCUGCUAUAUUAAUUAUUUUAUGUAUAUUUUAUAUAUAUGUGGAUAGUUAAGGUUGCAAAGCAAAAGUAUCUUUGCAUUGAUUAUGAUUAGAGCUGCUGUUACAGUAGAGCAGAACCCUGGGAAGUUACUUGCAGGAAAGAGGAAACUUUGGCAAACAAAGGCUAAUAUGAAAUCUCAGGCUUAGUAUUAUGUUUAUGUACAUUUUUGGUCUGCAUUUGGCUUAUUUUGCAUAUAUGAGCCCCUGAGAUAGGUGAAACAGAAGGUCGAAAGUAAAUCGAUACUAAUCAUUUUGGUCUAACACCACUUGGAAUGUGUCAGGAGAAGGAACAAUGGUAUAGAAAGCAGCAUUUGGUGAAGUUGAAUUUGUCUCUAAAACAGUUAUGUGAACUAUGGUAAAAACAGAUGGAGAAUGGAAUAUUCCGAGAGGAAGAAAAUGACAAAAAGGAGAAAGCAAUGCUUUACUUUGAAAAAUAUUUACUUUAAGUUUGACCACUUGGAAUGGGUUUCAAAAGCAUGAGUCAAAAGCAAUAUAUUUGUACCUUUUCACUCGCAUAAUCAUUACUAGUUUUACUUUGCAGGGACCACAUCUUCAUUUGUAGAACAGAUAUGCAUUUUCAAAUGUAAUAAUGAUUAAUGCAGACUUUUAGAAAAUGUUGUUAUGGAAAGAAGUGUCAGGUCUCUUGGGUGGUGAUUCUAGGAACUAUUUCUUUGAACUUGGGAACUGAACAUGAUUGAAAUGAUUGGAGAGAUGAAGACUUUGUAAAGGAUGCUCUUUUGCUUGUGGAUUGCCAUGAAGAAUUCAGCUGUCCUCUUAUUUCUCUUCCAAUUUUAUGUCAUCUCAAAAACUUGCAGCUCAGCUUAUUUGUAACAGAGAGUAUAAUCUGCCUCUUCCAUACAGUGCCAAAGUUUUAGGAUAAGUCAUCGGACUAUGCCUAAGGAUAUGUAUAUGUAUGUAUACAUUAACAUUAGCAUUAUAUUCAACUUUCUUAGGCCAGGACAGCAUUAUCCUCAGGUGAAUUUGAAUCAAAUACUACUCUUUAGCAAUGCUCAUUUUACCUAGAAAUCUUCAGAAUGGGAUAUUUUUGUUUAUUUGCAUUUUCAAGACAUAACUGUUAAUUCUGAGGCAAAAAUACUCUUUGCUAUCUCAACUUUGGACAAUUGAAUUACAAACUGAGAACGACUUAAAAGCAAUAUGAAAAGUUAGAUUAAGUAAGCUGUUUUGAAAACUUUAUCCUAAGUUCAGAAUUACUGUGGUGAUCAAAAAAGUUUAUUUGUGGAAUACUUUACUUCAGAGCUUUAAUGUGGAGAAUUUACUCCAGUUUUACAGUUGUCCUGCAAUACGUCAGCAAAGUUCUUCCCACUGUAUUUCUUCAGAGAACUUUUUUCCAUGUAGUAAGAAAGCUCGGUUUGCAUUUCUUGAGAGUAUGUAUCUGAGAGGCAGCAUCAAAUGCAACAUUAAGUUCAUUUUAUCAUUGAAUUUGAGGUGUAGAAAUUUGGGCUAAUCUGUUGAGAAGGUCUAGGCUAUUUCAACUCUUAAUAUCACUGUGGGUCAAUAGGUGCCAGCAGAUUUAUUAUCAGGUAUGUAGAUGUUUCUCAAAUAUAGCUUGUUAUUUACUGCAGUCUGUCCAAAUAACAGAAUCUUUUGUGGUAGUUCGAUUGCAUUUAGUGUCCAAGGCUGUUCUUUCCAUCUCUAGCUCAGUACCUCGCCAAAGUAAGAACAAGUUUAGAAUUUUGUCCAGGUGAAUUGCAACUGUUCAGAGGAAUUUCUGUAAAAAACAUACCUGUAAUACAUGGGAAAUACGGUGUCUUUUGUUAAUACUUUCAGACACAGAGUAGCUUGAGUUAUGACAGAGCUAUUUGAAAAAUAAUUAGGUUAUAGAAAGACAUUAAAAUGACAAACUAUUUAGAAAAGUCACAGAUAACCUGUAUUAUGUAAGUAUUGCUCUUAUGUUGCUCAGCUUCUUUGGGACUGUUCUUGUGGACAAAUUAAGCGUAUGUACAUGUUUGUAAGGCUAGAGCCUAAAAUAUUAUGUGAAGUAAAGAAGAUAAAGCAGUAGAUGGAGACAUUAUUUUGACUUCUGAAAAUUUAGUGACAGAGGAAAAGGCAUGUGAGGCCAAAGGUUAAUUAAAAGAUUCCAGCCAUAUCUACAAGUUGAUCUGCAAAGAAGUUGAAUGGAUUCCCAUACGUUUGUGUGUUCGCACCAAGUAUUUGUACUGAUUACUACUGGAAGGUGUAGAUUUUAUUUAUUGCUUUGCCAAUAAUGCUUUGCACACAGACACAAGAGAGAGAUAUUUAUGCUUGUAAUUAAAAAGUAACUUGGCUACCAUCUCUUAUCACCACUUGAGUUUAUAUGUACAGAAGCUAUACAUUUAAUAUUGUUUUUUUACUUGGCUCUUUUCAUCUUGUUUCUUACUGAUUUUGGUAAGACAAGACCAAGAUAAAAGCAUGGGCUCCCUCUGCUGGCUGUUGGUGUUGCUCUGAGCCCUUGUUCAGGACAGUCAGCAGACACUUUAGACAAUAAAAUUGAGAAGACAAAAAUUGCAGUUUAUUUUAAACAAUAAAACUCUGGGACAAAAAUGUAAUCAAGUGGCUAUUAAAAUAGAUUUACUCUAGCAUUUAAAAUAUAACUGCUGUGUGUAUAUAUAUACAUAUAUAUAUAUAUAUAUAUAUAUAUAUAUAUAUAUGCUCACCUUUGAAAUGCCCACAGAUUCUGAAGUAUUAGUAUUAUAUCAGAAAAACAGACAGACCUAGAAAGAAAAUACCAGGAAGAAACAAGUUUUUAUUGUCUGUGAUUUCAGAUUUCUCUUAGGUUUAAUUUGUAGCACUAUGUAAUUUAGUUACAAUAAUUUUAGUUAUAAUAGUGUGUAUGUAACUUUUUUAGCCUUUUGAUACCUAAGCGAGCAUGAUUGUAGUGCUCAGAGACAGGACAGUAUUUCUUCAGGUUUGUGAACCAUCCCUGUCUUCAGCGUUUCAGAAGUCACUGAGACUUUGCCAAAGCAGCAGAAUGCAGACAUACUUAGCGUUUGUUUCAUACAUGCAGAUAUAAAAAGCUGGGUAUUCUUAGCUGCAUCUAUGUGAUUACUUCAGAAGUACCCAUUAUAAAUAGCAUUUAUUAGGUAGCUGUGCACAGUUCACCUGCAUUCAGCUCAUUAAGGUACUGUUAGUAGACAGUAUUUACCACUUGAAACUUGGAGAUAUUUAAAGUCUAGACUUUGUGCAGGCAAACUAGUGGAACAAACAACCUGCUUUGAAAGCAUCCACACAUUAGGAACUUCUCUCUCCUUUACGCCUGGGUUUGGGACACCUCAUGGAUAAUAUCUGGGUUUGAGAGGCGAGGUUUCAAGAUUUGGCCAGUCCUUAAAGGGAAGGGGGUUGUUUUUUCUGGGAGAAAAAUUUUUAUUAAUUGAGCUAGGAUGGUAGUUAUGAAGGGCACAGGGGUCAAUGCACAUUGAGCCCAAUAUAGGUUCAGGAAUGUACUGCCUUCCAUGGUUAUCUUAACUCCAUAGCUGUAGAAACCAAUAUUUCCAUUUGUACUGUUUUGCUCAUUUUACUUGAAGUCAGUGGAAAUUUUGACUCACGAGGGAUAUGCUGUGACACAGAGCAGGGCUGUUUACUUAUCUCUCUGUAUCUAUACUGAUAUACCUCUGCUGGUUUUGAGACAGCAGAUACAUCUUUCAGGCCAUAUGCAAAGCUGAGAUAGCUCAAGUCAGUCAAUAGCUGAGUGGCAUUAGAUAGUACUGCACAGCACAGAUACACUUGAAGAAUCAAGGCCACUACUCAGAAAUUGCUUUCUGAAACCAAAAAAGGGAUAUGGACUUAGGUUCUAAACUUACACAUGUCCUUUUAUUGCCUUGAACAAUUCCAAUAUACUGGAGAACGUAUUAUGCUGUUAAUACAAAUGCCUGGAUUUUCAACAAGUGAGUUAAAAUAUGAAUAGGAUUUCCCUCCUCUCAGUGCUAUGUGAGUUUUAGUUUAUUUGGUCCCAUCACAAAAUAAAAAAAAUAGUCUUCCAUGUACUGUCUAAAAAAAUCUCGGGAGAGGCAUGUGUGCUGUUCAUUAAAAUACAAUGUAUAAUCUACAAAAUCUGUUUUUUUAACUUCAUUUUAUAUUCAGUGUAUCUGCUGUUAUGCAAGCAUAAAUUCUUUUUAAAUGAUUUCUUCUACACAUCAGGUUUGUCUGCUGUAAUAAUACCAUGGGAGAAGGUUUGCUGAAAUGCACUGUAGCCAACCCUGUAACUUGUGCCUUUAUGGUCAUCAAGUAGGUGUUCCAGUUUAUAGGUCUUCUGGAAGUAGACGGAUGAACCAACACCACUGGCUUGCCU